GCAUCCUAGCACGGGCACUCCAUGUUUGGUAAAUGAAUGAAAAGCUUUCUUUUGAUUCCUGUCCUGCCUGGAUCGUUUAAGGAGAAUCCCAAAAAAAGCAUACUGAUAUAAUAGAAGUCCAGAUGGUUCAAUAAUAAGGACACCUGUAUCACACCAGCUCUAACUUUACAGAGGAUGAAAACGGGUGCUGGAAAGGAGAUUUGCUCAAGCCACCUGGAUGACAAAGCAUGAAAAAGUUCAUUUGCCACCUCGAGGCCAGGGCUUAGUGCCAGGAGGUUCCUAAGACAACUGUUCCUUCAACAUGGUCUAUAAUAUGGGCAAUAGAGAAAAGAAGUAAGUUGAGUUUCUUCUAUACCCUCACCUAACUACAAUCACCACAGAAGACUUCCAGGAUCUUCAAAGGGGAAAUUUCUGUUUCCCAGUAGCAAGACGGCAAGCAAUUAUUUCUGCAGGGAGCACUACAUGGGUGUCCCCCAAAUCAAUUCAACUCCAACACUAGCUGCCUGGAGAUAGUGUCAGAUCCCAGAGUUAGGGCUCUGUCCCACUACUUUGG